rnacentral:rRNA from 1 species
UGGGGAAUAUUGGACAAUGGGCGGAAGCCUGAUCCAGCAACGCCGCGUGAGGGAUGACGGCCUUCGGGUUGUAAACCUCUUUCAGUACCGACGAAGCGAAAGUGACGGUAGGUACUGAAGAAGGACCGGCCAACUACGUGCCAGCAGCCGCGGUAAUACGUAGGGUCCGAGCGUUGUCCGGAAUUAUUGGGCGUAAAGGGCUCGUAGGCGGUUUGUCGCGUCGGGAGUGAAAACCAUGGGCUUAACUCAUGGCUUGCUUUCGAUACGGGCAGACGAGAGGUAUGCAGGGGAGAAUGGAAUUCCUGGUGUAGCGGUGAAAUGCGCAGAUAUCAGGAGGAACACCGGUGGCGAAGGCGGUUCUCUGGGCAUUACCUGACGCUGAGGAGCGAAAGUGUGGGGAGCGAACAGG